rnacentral:rRNA from 1 species
AGAGUUUGAUCAUGGCUCAGGAUUAACGCUAGCGGCAGGCCUAAUACAUGCAAGUCGAACGGGAUUUCGGUUAGCAAUAAUUGAAUGAGAGUGGCGCACGGGUGCGUAACACGUAUGCAACCUACCUAUAACUGGGGGAUAGCCUCCCGAAAGGGAGAUUAACGCCGCAUAACAUUAUGAAGUGGCAUCACUUUAUAAUUAAAUCUACGGAGGUUAUAGAUGGGCAUGCGUCCGAUUAGCUAGUUGGUGAGGUAAUGGCUCACCAAGGCUCCGAUCGGUAGGGGGUCUGAGAGGAUGAUCCCCCACACUGGUACUGAGACACGGACCAGACUCCUACGGGAGGCAGCAGUAAGGAAUAUUGGACAAUGGGCGCAAGCCUGAUCCAGCCAUGCCGCGUGAAGGAUGAAGGCCCUAUGGGUCGUAAACUUCUUUUAUACGGGAAAAAACCCCUCGAUGCGUUGAGGGUUGAUGGUACUGUAAGAAUAAGGGUCGGCUAACUUCGUGCCAGCAGCCGCGGUAAUACGAAGGACCCGAGCGUUAUCCGGAUUUAUUGGGUUUAAAGGGUGCGUAGGCGGGUUAGUAAGUCAGUGGUGAAAGCCCAUCGCUUAACGGUGGAAUUGCCAUUGAUACUGCUAGUCUUGAGCAUGGUUGAGGUGGGCGGAAUGUGUCUGUAGCGGUGAAAUGCUUAGAUAUGACCCAGAACACCAAUUGCGAAGGCAGCUCGCUAAGCCAUAACUGACGCUGAUGCACGAAAGCGUGGGGAGCAAACAGGAUUAGAUACCCUAGUAGUCC